rnacentral:rRNA from 1 species
AUUGAACGCUGGCGGCAGGCCUAACACAUGCAAGUCGAACGGUAGCACAGAGAGCUUGCUCUCGGGUGACGAGUGGCGGACGGGUGAGUAAUGUCUGGGAAACUGCCUGAUGGAGGGGGAUAACUACUGGAAACGGUAGCUAAUACCGCAUAAUGUCGCAAGACCAAAGAGGGGGACCUUCGGGCCUCUUGCCAUCGGAUGUGCCCAGAUGGGAUUAGCUAGUAGGUGGGGUAACGGCUCACCUAGGCGACGAUCCCUAGCUGGUCUGAGAGGAUGAGCAGCCACACUGGAACUGAGAAACGGUCCAGACUCCUACGGGAGGCAGCAGUGGGGAAUAUUGCACAAUGGGCGCAAGCCUGAUGCAGCCAUGCCGCGUGUAUGAAGAAGGCCUUCGGGUUGUAAAGUACUUUCAGCGGGGAGGAAGGGGUUGAGUUUAAUACGCUCAAUCAUUGACGUUACCCGCAGAAGAAGCACCGGCUAACUCCGUGCCAGCCGCCGCCGUAAUAC